GAGGACUAGCCGGCCGUGUGCAGAGCAUCCUUUUUUGACCCUCAGAGAGCCCGGGCGGGAAAAGAGCGUCCCUCAAGAGGGCCUUGGCCCUCGUGGAUCUGGUUCUCUCAGGCCAGCGUUCCUUCGACGGGGACUCUCCUGGCGAGUUCCUAGCCGUUACCCUUUCCUCAGCUCAGCUCCUGGACCAUGGCUCUGGGUCACACAGCCUCCUGGGCUGCUCUUUCGUAUGCCACAUUUUUAUUCACUUUUGAGAGCCUAUGCGCCAUGCACCCUUCUAAUCCCUGAAUGGACGAAACAAAGCCCUUAGACUGACAUUCUAAUGGAGAACAGAAAUCAAGAUGAACGCUUCCUACGGUGAUGAGGAGAAAAGAGCCUCCCUGUGGUAUUCGGAGUCCUACACAACGAUUGGAGCCAAGCAGACAACCUGGACCCUGGAGGACAGAGACUCAUGUUGAGGAUGGUGGAUAAAUGGGAUAGAAGUCUGGAUCCUUAAUGAUUGUAGAGCCACCCUAUUAUCCUGGCCUGCUUCCCACUGACAUCUUGCAUAUGUAAGAAGAGAAAUACACUUCUGUCUUUUAAGCCACUGUUAUUUGGGUCUUCUGUCACAUGCAGCCAAAGCUAGUCCAAAAUGAUAUACGUACCAGGCAGGCAACCAUAUAUUGUUUGACAUGCCAAAAAAUCACACUUUAAUUUUGUUUAUUAUGUACAUUCUUGAGUCGUUGAAAACCCCAAAGAACAUGGCAUCAUAGUUGUAGAUUAUGUAGACUAUAAUUUAUAGUCCAUAAUUGUAGACUAUAAUUGGAUAACUACUUAAGAGUAUAAGCUGCAAAGAAGCCAAGGUCAUUAUUGCCAAAACAACAGGAG
rnacentral:lncRNA from 1 species